rnacentral:rRNA from 1 species
AGAGUUUGAUCCUGGCUCAGAUUGAACGCUGGCGGCAUGCCUUACACAUGCAAGUCGAACGGCAGCACGAGAGCUUGCUCUUGGUGGCGAGUGGCGAACGGGUGAGUAAUAUAUCGGAACGUACCCUAGAGUGGGGGAUAACGUAGCGAAAGUUACGCUAAUACCGCAUACGAUCUACGGAUGAAAGUGGGGGAUCGCAAGACCUCAUGCUCAUGGAGCGGCCGAUAUCUGAUUAGCUAGUUGGUGGGGUAAAAGCUCACCAAGGCGACGAUCAGUAGCUGGUCUGAGAGGACGACCAGCCACACUGGAACUGAGACACGGUCCAGACUCCUACGGGAGGCAGCAGUGGGGAAUUUUGGACAAUGGGCGCAAGCCUGAUCCAGCAAUGCCGCGUGAGUGAAGAAGGCCUUCGGGUUGUAAAGCUCUUUUGUCAGGGAAGAAACGGUGGACUCUAAUACAGAUCACUAAUGACGGUACCUGAAGAAUAAGCACCGGCUAACUACGUGCCAGCAGCCGCGGUAAUACGUAGGGUGCAAGCGUUAAUCGGAAUUACUGGGCGUAAAGCGUGCGCAGGCGGUUGUGCAAGACAGAUGUGAAAUCCCCGGGCUCAACCUGGGAAUUGCAUUUGUGACUGCACGGCUAGAGUGUGUCAGAGGGGGGUAGAAUUCCACGUGUAGCAGUGAAAUGCGUAGAGAUGUGGAGGAAUACCGAUGGCGAAGGCAGCCCCCUGGGAUAACACUGACGCUCAUGCACGAAAGCGUGGGGAGCAAACAGGAUUAGAUACCCUGGUAGUCCACGCCCUAAACGAUGUCUACUAGUUGUCGGGUCUUAAUUGACUUGGUAACGCAGCUAACGCGUGAAGUAGACCGCCUGGGGAGUACGGUCGCAAGAUUAAAACUCAAAGGAAUUGACGGGGACCCGCACAAGCGGUGGAUGAUGUGGAUUAAUUCGAUGCAACGCGAAAAACCUUACCUACCCUUGACAUGUCUGGAAUCCUUGAGAGAUCAGGGAGUGCUCGAAAGAGAAUCAGAACACAGGUGCUGCAUGGCUGUCGUCAGCUAGUGUCGUGAGAUGUUGGGUUAAGUCCCGCAACGAGCGCAACCCUUGUCAUUAGUUGCUACGAAAGGGCACUCUAAUGAGACUGCCGGUGACAAACCGGAGGAAGGUGGGGAUGACGUCAAGUCCUCAUGGCCCUUAUGGGUAGGGCUUCACACGUCAUACAAUGGUACAUACAGAGGGCCGCCAACCCGCGAGGGGGAGCUAAUCCCAGAAAGUGUAUCGUAGUCCGGAUUGUAGUCUGCAACUCGACUACAUGAAGUUGGAAUCGCUAGUAAUCGCGGAUCAGCAUGUCGCGGUGAAUACGUUCCCGGGUCUUGUACACACCGCCCGUCACACCAUGGGAGCGGGUUUCACCAGAAGUGGGUAGCCUAACCGCAAGGAGGGCGCUCACCACGGUGGGAUUCGUGACUGGGGUGAAGUCGCAACAAGGUA